GACGAACGCUGGCGGCGUGCCUAAUACAUGCAAGUAGAACGCACAGUUUAUACCGUAGCUUGCUACACCAUAAACUGUGAGUUGCGAACGGGUGAGUAACGCGUAGGCAACCUGCCUGGUAGCGGGGGAUAACUAUUGGAAACGAUAGCUAAUACCGCAUAAUAUUGAUUAUUGCAUGAUAAUUGAUUGAAAGAUGCUAUUGCAUCACUACCAGAUGGACCUGCGUUGUAUUAGCUAGUAGGUGAGGUAACGGCUCACCUAGGCGACGAUACAUAGCCGACCUGAGAGGGUGAUCGGCCACACUGGGACUGAGACACGGCCCAGACUCCUACGGGAGGCAGCAGUAGGGAAUCUUCGGCAAUGGACGAAAGUCUGACCGAGCAACGCCGCGUGAGUGAAGAAGGUUUUCGGAUCGUAAAGCUCUGUUGUAAGAGAAGAACGGGUGUGAGAGUGGAAAGUUCACACUGUGACGGUAUCUUACCAGAAAGGGACGGCUAACUACGUG
rnacentral:rRNA from 1 species